rnacentral:sRNA from 1 species
AAAACAAAGGUAGAACAACAUAAGCAGAAAUUCAAAAGAUAUAAG